rnacentral:rRNA from 1 species
UACGAAGGGGGCUAGCGUUGCUCGGAAUUACUGGGCGUAAAGGGCGCGUAGGCGGACAUUUAAGUUAGAGGUGAAAGCCCAGGGCUCAACCCUGGAAUAGCCUUUAAUACUGGAUGUCUUGAGUUCGGGAGAGGUGAGUGGAAUGCCGAGUGUAGAGGUGAAAUUCGUAGAUAUUCGGCGGAACACCAGUGGCGAAGGCGACUCACUGGCCCGAUACUGACGCUGAGGCGCGAAAGCGUGGGGAGCAAACAGG